rnacentral:rRNA from 1 species
UACAGAGGUCUCAAGCGUUGUUCGGAUUCAUUGGGCGUAAAGGGCGCGUAGGCGGGUUCGCAAGUCUGUGGUGAAAGCCUCCAGCUUAACUGGAGAAGUGCCGUGGAUACUGCGAAUCUUGAGGAGGGUAGGGGCGUCUGGAACGGUCGGUGGAGCGGUGAAAUGCGUUGAUAUCGACCGGAACUCCGGUGGCGAAGGCGAGGCGCUGGACCCUUUCUGACGCUGAGGCGCGAAAGCCAGGGGAGCAAACGGG